UCUCAUUGACUUCUUGACAACGACUGAUUUACUCCACAAACUCUGAUGAUACUUUUCGCACUCCCCUCAGCCCUUUCUGGUUCAGUCUCUUGCUGCCCUUUACCCUUUCACCAUCCACUGCCCCGCUGUUAUCCGUAACCUGUUGCUCAUCCAUCUCCCUUUUGCCACCUGAUGCCCUCGCUUCCUUCCUGCCCUGCAGCGCUGUAUAGUCCUUGUGGCUUAGCGCUUCUUUUUGAUUAUAAUAAUAAUAAUUAAAGAAUGACGCCCCUCAGCAGAGGUGCCUUCAUGCCAGUGAGGAGCUCGAGCUCCUUCCCUUUCUUGCAUCAAAUCUGAGUGUCAUUCCACAGAUGCCAUAUAACCCCUUAUGGGUUUAGCACUUUCCCCUGAUUAAAAACAUGAAUGCUGCUACUGUGGGCUCUUGAUCCAAGGAAGUGGACCUGCCUUCCCUUUAGAUCAAAUCUGAAUGCCCCUCAUUGCUACCAGGCACUAUGUGACCCCUAUGGGUUUGGUACUCCCAAUUACAUAUAAUGGUACUGUAACAAUUAUUACUACUACUGCUAUGACCACCAGUAUUGCAUGCCAAUGUACGGGUGCUGCAGUGCCCUCUGACGAUCCUACCUUGUUAUCGAACCAUUCUUUGGACCUUUCUACCACCACGGUACCAUCUGCAGGUAACAUUUCGUUGCACACUACUGGUAUCAAGGUUCUGCCUGACUCCUUUGAUACCAUGCUUUCAGCUUCUCCCUCUACUGUACUACAAUUUUCAGAUAGCCAGGACAGACCACUUCUGGUUCCACACCUAAAUGACCACGACCAUUAAUAGAUGACACUGCUUUGAUUACCUCUUGCUGUUACCAGAAAAGACCAGCACAACCCUCACUCCCCUUACACACUACAUUUCAAAAUACACAAUGGACUAAGUUUUUCACUCUGCAGUCUACAUCUCCCACUGACUGUCUUUCUGAUCAUAGUAUCAGCAAAGCAAUCCUGUGCUAUGUUGGUCAAAAUAUUUCAUUUCAAGUUCUUAAGAGUGAUGCAUGCAUUGUCACAGUACAAAAUGCUGUCCAGGCUCAUAAUCUUUCCCUUCUUACCUCCAUAGAUAAUCCUCCUGUCAUAAUUCAAAAACUCGUGUCUCUCAAUUCUUUGCAAUGGUACCAUUGUUCAACAUGAUCUCCAGAUGUGCGAUGCCAACAUUCUGGAGCAACUUGAGCUCCAAGACCUCCCAGUUCUCAAAGUGGACACUUAUAUACUACUUUCCCUCAUCCUCAGUUUAUGUUGCGGGACACCAUUUACAAGUCCUAGAGUUGAUCCCUACACCACAACAGUGCAGAAAUUGCUGGUGCUUCGGCCACCCACCGAAAUAUUGCAGGUCCAUGGUAAAAUGCCCAUUCUGUGUUUGUAUGGUCAGCAGCUGCCUACCAUACCAAUACAUCCGGCAGCCUAUCUUUUGCUAAGCUUAAUUGUAAUAAUGCUUACCCAGCUUAUUCUCACCAUUGCUAAGUUUACUUAAAAGAACGAGAAAUCUGCUGUCUCAGAGAGAAUGGUUUCACUUAAACCAUGGCACUCUUCUCUCUGCCUCCAAGGGAGACUUCCAUGACUUUCUUAUUCUAGAGUUACUAAGAAGCCUCUAGCCUCAGUGGUACCUACUUCCAUGGUCUCCUCUGUGGUCACAACUUCCACAAUCACCUCUGUAUCUAACACUUGCAGCCCUGGACUCCAAACUGUCCUCGAGUCUUCAUCUUCUCGCUCGCAUGUUUCUGUGCCCACAAGACCUCCCACACCUACACUUAUAUAUGCGUUUGAAAGUGAAAAAAUGCCUGUUUCAUUUUACAGUGAUCUUCACUUUACAGCAGUAGCCCAGAACCUAACCUGCUGUAUAAGCGUGUUAGGUUCUGGGGUAAUUCGUCAGUAGCCAGAAAUCUCUGACAAACUCAGUCCUCAAGAUCACAUGGUGUAGGGAGACUACAGAUGCAGAGCUGUCCAUUACACAAGUCUGGAAGGCACUUAAGAUGCAGCCUUGGGAAUCCUGAGAUGUUCUGCCUCCAGUUGCAGGAUCAGCAUAAUUUUUUGUCUCAUUGAUGAACUUACCAAGUGGCCAUAUGUAAGCUACACUUGGUGAGCAUUUCUCAGAAAACAUUUGCUGUGCAACGUACAGUAGUCCCUCUGUACCUGCGGGGGAUGCAUUCCAGCACCUACUGUGGAUACCCAAUACCGCUGGUAGUAAUGAAACCUAUAGGUGUCAUUUUUCGUUUACAUACAUCCCUGAUAAAAAUUAAUUGAUAAAUUACGCACAAUAAGUUGAGAAUUAGCACUUUUUCACUGGUGGGAAGCACUUCACGGCCUCUCUUAGAGUUUGAAGAACUGCCAUCAUCACUAGUUUUGUGCCCUGGUGUUAUUAUUAAGCAAAAUUAAGGAUUAUUUUCAGGCCACAGUGGAAACUGAAUCCACAGAUGUGGGGGUUCUACUGUAUGUCAUAAAUGAGGCUAUACCUUCCUGUUUCAAGACUGAUGUAGACAAUGUCUUAGCAAUUACCAGAUGCUAAUAACCUUGGUACAGUGGAACCUCUACUUGUGAGCGUGUCCACAUGCGAGUUUUUCCAAAUACGAGCAGUUGAUGGGUCGAUUGUUUGCUUCCAUACACGAGCAAAAUUUCCACAAGCGAGCAGACCU